CGCGUAGGAAUCUACCUGGUAGUGGGGGACAACUCGGGGAAACUCGAGCUAAUACCGCAUACGCCCUACGGGGAAAGACGGGGAGUCUUCGGACCUCGCGCUAUUGGAUGAGCCUGCGUCGGAUUAGCUUGUUGGUGGGGUAAAGCCUACCAAGGCGACGAUCCGUAGCUGGUCUGAGAGGACGAUCAGCCACACUGGGACUGAGACACGGCCCAGACUCCUACGGGAGGCAGCAGUGGGGAAUAUUGCGCAAUGGGGGAAACCCUGACGCAGCCAUGCCGCGUGUGUGAAGAAGGCCCU
rnacentral:rRNA from 1 species